rnacentral:rRNA from 1 species
UCGAACGCUGAACCGGUUUCGGCCGGGGAUGAGUGGCGAACGGGUGAGUAACACGUGGGUAAUCUGCCCUGUACUCUGGGAUAAGCCUGGGAAACUGGGUCUAAUACCGGAUACGACCUUCGGAGGCAUCUGGGGUGGUGGAAAGUUCCGGCGGUAUGGGAUGAACCCGCGGCCUAUCAGCUUGUUGGUGGGGUAAUGGCCUACCAAGGCGACGACGGGUAGCCGGCCUGAGAGGGUGACCGGCCACACUGGGACUGAGACACGGCCCAGACUCCUACGGGAGGCAGCAGUGGGGAAUAUUGCACAAUGGGCGCAAGCCUGAUGCAGCGACGCCGCGUGAGGGAUGACGGCCUUCGGGUUGUAAACCUCUUUCGCCAGGGACGAAGCGCAAGUGACGGUACCUGGAUAAGAAGCACCGGCUAACUACGUGCCAGCAGCCGCGGUAAUACGUAGGGUGCGAGCGUUGUCCGGAAUUAUUGGGCGUAAAGAGCUCGUAGGCGGUUUGUCGCGUCGGCUGUGAAAUCUGGAGGCUUAACCUUCAGCGUGCAGUCGAUACGGGCAGACUUGAGUUCGGCAGGGGAGACUGGAAUUCCUGGUGUAGCGGUGAAAUGCGC